AUGUAUAUGAUAACACAAGCAAGAACAAACUGGAACCAUAGAAAGAAUAAAGUAUCUAUGUACACAGUGAAGUUGAAUACGAGUAGUGUAACCUUUCUCCUUUUUCCCUCCAAUUUCUCUUUCCCUAGCAAUACUUACAACUUAACACAGGACUAUCCAGCGACAAAAAAGACCAUGUCAGUAUCAACACCCAGAAACUUCUCUUCUACACUAUAUCAUGAUCCCAACAAUUUCAUCUUCAUUCUAACAAAGUUCAUGUCCUUAUCAUCUGUGGCUUCAACAACCAGAGAUGAAAAAUAG